rnacentral:rRNA from 1 species
AUUGAACGCUGGCGGCAGGCCUAACACAUGCAAGUCGAGCGGAUGAGGAAAGCCUGCUUUUCGAUUCAGCGGCGGACGGGUGAGUAAUGCCUAGGAAUCUGCCUGUUAGUGGGGGAUAACUCGGGGAAACUCGGGCUAAUACCGCAUACGUCCUACGGGGGAAAGCAGGGGAUCUUCGGACCUUGCGCUAAUAGAUGAGCCUAAGUCGGAUUAGCUAGUUGGUGGGGUAAAGGCCUACCAAGGCGACGAUCUGUAGCGGGUCUGAGAGGAUGAUCCGCCACACUGGGACUGAGACACGGCCCAGACUCCUACGGGAGGCAGCAGUGGGGAAUAUUGGACAAUGGGCGGAAGCCUGAUCCAGCCAUGCCGCGUGUGUGAAGAAGGCCUUUUGGUUGUAAAGCACUUUAAGCGAGGAGGAGGCUCUUAAGGUUAAUACCCUUGAUGAGUGGACGUUACUCGCAGAAUAAGCACCGGCUAACUCUGUGCCAGCCGCCGCGGUAA